rnacentral:rRNA from 1 species
GACGAACGCUGGCGGCGUGCCUAAUACAUGCAAGUCGAGCGGAGUUUUUAAAAGCUUGCUUUUAAAAACUCAGCGGCGGACGGGUGAGUAACACGUGGGCAACCUGCCCUGUAGACUGGGAUAACUUCGGGAAACCGAAGCUAAUACCGGAUAAUCAUAGAAGUUGCAUAGCUUCUAUGUAAAAGUUGGGUUUACCUAACACUACAGGAUGGGCCCGCGUCGCAUUAGCUAGUUGGUAAGGUAACGGCUUACCAAGGCGACGAUGCGUAGCCGACCUGAGAGGGUGAUCGGCCACACUGGGACUGAGACACGGCCCAGACUCCUACGGGAGGCAGCAGUAGGGAAUCUUCCGCAAUGGACGAAAGUCUGACGGAGCAACGCCGCGUGAGCGAUGAAGGCCUUCGGGUCGUAAAGCUCUGUUGUUAGGGAAGAAACAAAGUGCUAUUCGAAUAAGGGUGGCAACCCUGGCGGACC